AUGAUCUGCGAAGAUCACUACUUCCCCGUCCCUUGGCUGUGGUCUCUCUUCCGACGGGUCAGGGGCACGGUAGGACAUGAUUUCCUUCUUAGGCAAAUAUCCGGACUUAACAAAAUUGGCCAGGGUCUCGUUGGUGACGUUGGACCUCAUCCAGUUGCAAGUGAUGGGAGCCUUGGGAGGCAUGGUGAAAGUUGGUGGUCUAUGACAAAAAGGAAAAAUGACCGGGUUAAUUAUAAGCCGGAGAUCUACAGUUCAAAACUAUGGUGGCGGCUUAUGAAGGGGACUAAUGGUAUAUACUCAAAUACGGUGGUUUUCUUUAAGUCGGAGGAUUCUGCGAAGCAUGGUUUUCUUUAA
rnacentral:rRNA from 1 species